GAUGAACGCUGGCGGCGUGCCUAAUACAUGCAAGUCGAGCGAACGGACGAGAAGCUUGCUUCUCUGAUGUUAGCGGCGGACGGGUGAGUAACACGUGGAUAACCUACCUAUAAGACUGGGAUAACUUCGGGAAACCGGAGCUAAUACCGGAUGAUAUUUUGAACCGCAUGGUUCAAAAGUGAAAGACGGUCUUGCUGUCACUUAUAGAUGGAUCCGCGCUGCAUUAGCUAGUUGGUAAGGUAACGGCUUACCAAGGCAACGAUGCAUAGCCGGCCUGAGAGGGUGAUCGGCCACACUGGAACUGAGACACGGUCCAGACUCCUACGGGAGGCAGCAGUAGGGAAUCUUCCGCAAUGGGCGAAAGCCUGACGGAGCAACGCCGCGUGAGUGAUGAAGGUCUUCGGAUCGUAAAACUCUGUUAUUAGGGAAGAACAUAUGUGUAAGUAACUGUGCACAUCUUGACGGUACCUAAUCAGAAAGCCACGGCUAACUACGUGCCAGCAGCCGCGGUAAUACGUAGGUGGCAAGCGUUAUCCGGAAUUAUUGGGCGUAAAGCGCGCGUAGGCGGUUUUUUAAGUCUGAUGUGAAAGCCCACGGCUCAACCGUGGAGGGUCAUUGGAAACUGGAAAACUUGAGUGCAGAAGAGGAAAGUGGAAUUCCAUGUGUAGCGGUGAAAUGCGCAGAGAUAUGGAGGAACACCAGUGGCGAAGGCGACUUUCUGGUCUGUAACUGACGCUGAUGUGCGAAAGCGUGGGGAUCAAACAGGAUUAGAUACCCUGGUAGUCCACGCCGUAAACGAUGAGUGCUAAGUGUUAGGGGGUUUCCGCCCCUCAGUGCUGCAGCUAACGCAUUAAGCACUCCGCCUGGGGAGUACGACCGCAAGGUUGAAACUCAAAGGAAUUGACGGGGACCCGCACAAGCGGUGGAGCAUGUGGUUUAAUUCGAAGCAACGCGAAGAACCUUACCAAAUCUUGACAUCCUUUGACAACUCUAGAGAUAGAGCCUUCCCCUUCGGGGGGGACAAAGUGACAGAUGGUGCAUGGUUGUCGUCAGCUCGUGUCGUGAGAUGUUGGGUUAAGUCCCGCAACGAGCGCAACCCUUAAGCUUAGUUGCCAUCAUUAAGUUGGGCACUCUAAGUUGACUGCCGGUGACAAACCGGAGGAAGGUGGGGAUGACGUCAAAUCAUCAUGCCCCUUAUGAUUUGGGCUACACACGUGCUACAAUGGACAAUACAAAGGGCAGCGAAACCGCGAGGUCAAGCAAAUCCCAUAAAGUUGUUCUCAGUUCGGAUUGUAGUCUGCAACUCGACUACAUGAAGCUGGAAUCGCUAGUAAUCGUAGAUCAGCAUGCUACGGUGAAUACGUUCCCGGGUCU
rnacentral:rRNA from 1 species